rnacentral:rRNA from 1 species
UGAAAGCUUUAAUUUUCAGUACCCCCUGCUCAAUGAAACUUUAAAUAGCCGCAGUCACCUGUGCUAAGGUAGCAUAAUCAUUUGCCUAAUAAUUAUAGGAUAGAAUGAAAGGGAAAACAUGUGAAUUUCUUUAUUUAAAAAACAAUUUUAACUUACCUAAUAAGUAAAAACUCUUAUUUUGCUAGGAGGACGACAAGACCCUAUCAAACUUUACAUUUCAGUUUAGCUGGGGCGGCAAAAAAAAAUAAACCUUUAUAUAAGACUUAUUAAUAACCUUCCCUAAGAUAGAACAAGUUACUGUAGGGAUAACAGCAUAAUUUUUUCUUAGAGACCUUAUCCAAGAAAAAGAUUAUGACCUCGAUGUUGAAUUAAGUUUCUUCUAGAGGCAGAUUUCUAGAAAGAGAGUCUGUUCGACUUUUAAUUCCUU